GUUAACACUAUAGGGUCAUGAAUUCAUGUUUGUUUUCCUGACCCUAUAGUGAUCCUUUAAGGUAAUGCUGACUUUGGUCUCUCUAACACUGUGGCAUGUUCCCUUUCUUCUACACUCACUACAUACAGCUUUUCUCUGUCCCAGACUAUAUACCAGGAGCUUCUGCCUGCUAGUAAGAAGGUAAGGAGACAAGUGGACCAGCGAGUGCUAGGGGACAGUCCUUAGAAAGCGUUGAGCGAGCG